AUUGAACGCUGGCGGCAGGCUUAACACAUGCAAGUCGAGCGGAGAUGAGGUGCUUGCACCUUAUCUUAGCGGCGGACGGGUGAGUAAUGCUUAGGAAUCUGCCUAUUAGUGGGGGACAACAUUCCGAAAGGAAUGCUAAUACCGCAUACGUCCAAAGGGAGAAAGCAGGGGAUCUUCGGACCUUGCGCUAAAUGAUGAGCCUACGUCGGAUUGGCUAGUUGGUGGGGUAAAGGCCUACCAAGGCGACGAUCUGUAGCGGGUCUGAGAGGAUGACCCGCCACACUGGGACUGAGACACGGCCCAGACGCCGACGGGAGGCAGCAGUGGGGAAUAUUGGACAAUGGGCGGAAGCCUGAUCCAGCCAGGCCGCGUGUGUGAAGAAGGCCUUUUGGUUGUAAAGCACUUUAAGCGAGGAGGAGGCUACCUGGAUUAAUACUCUAGGAUAGUGGACGUUACUCGCAGAAUAAGCACCGGCUAACUCUGUGCCAGCAGCCGCAGUAAGAC
rnacentral:rRNA from 1 species